CCUACGGGAGGCAGCAGUUGGGAAUCUUGCGCAAUGGGGGGAAACCCUGACGCAGCGACGUCGCGUGGAGGACGAAGGAUUUAGGUCUGUAAACUCCUUUUUCAGGGAAAGACUUAGGACGGUACCCUGAGAAUAAGCACCGGCUAACUACGUGCCAGCAGCCGCGGUAAGACGUAGGGUGCAAGCGUUGUCCGGAUUUACUGGGCGUAAAGGGCGCGUAGGCGGUCUGUUAAGUGUAGAGUGAAAUCUCCAGGGCUCAACCCGGAAACUGCUCUGCAUACUGGCAGACUUGAGGGACGAAGAGGUAUGUGGAAUUCCUGGUGUAGCGGUGAAAUGCGUUGAUAUCAGGAGGAACACCCAUGGCGAAGGCAGCAUACUGGUCGUUUCCUGACGCUGAGGCGCGAAAGCGUGGGUAGCAAACAGGAUUAGAUACCCUGGUAGUCCACGCCCUAAACGAUGGAUACUAGGCGUCGGAGGUAUCGACCCCUCCGGUGCCGCAGCUAACGCAUUAAGUAUCCGCCUGGGGACUACGGCCGCAGGUUGAACUCAAGGAAUUGACGG
rnacentral:rRNA from 1 species